rnacentral:rRNA from 1 species
UGGGGAAUAUUGCACAAUGGGCGCAAGCCUGAUGCAGCCAUGCCGCGUGUGUGAAGAAGGCCUUCGGGUUGUAAAGCACUUUCAGCGAGGAGGAAGGUGGUGGACUUAAUACGUUCAUCAAUUGACGUUACUCGCAGAAGAAGCACCGGCUAACUCCGUGCCAGCAGCCGCGGUAAUACGGAGGGUGCAAGCGUUAAUCGGAAUUACUGGGCGUAAAGCGCACGCAGGCGGUUUGUUAAGUCAGAUGUGAAAUCCCCGGGCUCAACCUGGGAACUGCAUUUGAAACUGGCAAGCUAGAGUCUCGUAGAGGGGGGUAGAAUUCCAGGUGUAGCGGUGAAAUGCGUAGAGAUCUGGAGGAAUACCGGUGGCGAAGGCGGCCCCCCUGGACGAAGACUGACGCUCAGGUGCGAAAAGCGUGGGGAGCAAAACAGGAUUAGAUACCCUGGUAGUCCACGCUGUAAAACGAUGUCGAUUUGGAGGUUGUGCCCUUGAGGCGUGGCUUCCGGAGCUAACGCGUUAAAUCGACCGCCUGGGGAGUACGGCCG